rnacentral:rRNA from 1 species
UACGGAGGAUGCGAGCGUUAUCCGGAUUUAUUGGGUUUAAAGGGAGCGUAGGUGGAUUGUUAAGUCAGCGGUAAAAGCCCGGGGCUCAACCCCGGCCCGCCGUUGAAACUGGCUGGCUUGAGUUGGGGAAAGGCAGGCGGAAUGCGCGGUGUAGCGGUGAAAUGCAUAGAUAUCACGCAGAACUCCGAUUGCGAAGGCAGCAUACCGGCGCUCAACUGACGCUGAGGCACGAAAGCGUGGGGAUCGAACAGG